rnacentral:rRNA from 1 species
GACGAACGCUGGCGGCGUGCUUAACACAUGCAAGUCGAACGGAAAGGCCCCUUUGGGGGUCCUCGAGUGGCGCACGGGUGAGUAACACGUGAGUAACCUGCCCUUGACUUCGGGAUAACUUCAGGAAACUGGGCUAAUACCGGAUCGGAAUCCUUGCUGCAUGGUGGGGGUUGGAAAGCUUCGGCGGUUUUGGAUGGACUCGCGGCUUAUCAGCUUGUUGGUGGGGUAGUGGCUUACCAAGGCUUUGACGGGUAGCCGGCCUGCGAGGGCGACCGGCCACAUUGGGACUGAGAUACGGCCCAGACUCCUACGGGAGGCAGCAGUGGGGAAUAUUGCACAAUGGGCGGAAGCCUGAUGCAGCAACGCCGCGUGCGGGAUGACGGCCUUCGGGUUGUAAACCGCUUUCAGCAGGGGCGAAGCUUGUGGUGACGGUACCUGCAGAAGAAGCACCGGCUAACUACGUG